UACGUAGGGGGCAAGCGUUGUCCGGAUUUACUGGGCGUAAAGGGCGCGUAGGCGGCCCUCUUUGUCGCGUGUGAAAGCCCCGGGCUCAACCUGGGAAUGGCGCGCGAAACGGGGGGGCUGGAGUUCGGGAGAGGAGCGUGGAAUUCCCAGUGUAGAGGUGAAAUUCGUAGAUAUUGGGAAGAACACCGGUGGCGAAGGCGGCGCUCUGGACCGAGACUGACGCUGAGGCGCGAAAGCGUGGGGAGCAAACAGG
rnacentral:rRNA from 1 species